AAAGCCUAGAAGGAGGAGAGAUGACUAGAAACGAUUCGUUUGACCGUUUUAUGUGUGGAUUAAUUGUCGGAGUAGAGGACCUUGUGCAUUUCAGGAGCUAUAGCAUGCCUACCAACAACACAAAGGACGCUGAGACACAGCCAAGUGCCAGGCAGAGGGGGGGGGAACACUGGAGGAGGAAGCAGCUCUUCUCUGCUACAGCAGGCUGGCAGGCAGCAGGUCUUACUGGCAUCCAUUUCAUCUCAUCAGCACCCUGAGUAAGAGUCCACAAAUGCAGAGAAAUCAUUUUGCCGGGGGAGUGUGGCUGGGGUAAAUUGGCCUCCGGUUCAGUGCGGGGGUCCCUGCUGUGCGGAGCCGGAAGAGUAGGGCCUGGUCGGGAGUAGGGCAGGCCCAGGCAGGGCAGGCCGGGGGCCCCCAUGCUGAGACCACCUCCCUGCCCCUGACAAACAUGGCAGUGGAUAAUCUCUCCUUCAGAGACUCAGCCCCAACCCCAUGGGCUCAGAGGGAAGGCAGGGGUUCUGUUAUACAGACAGCAGAGAGGAACUCUUCACUGUGUGGCUGGCAGUGUGUGUGUGUCAUACUUUAGACACAGACAAAUAUGCACUGCACACACAACUUCGCAAAUCUCCCUGUGUGCGCAUCUCUACCCAGUCUCUCUCUCCGACACACACCUGCUCAUUUAAAUGGUUUACUAUGGGAGAGUGACCAUGUGAAAAGUGGGUGGUAGUUUUCAAACCAAGAGCAUCCCAAUGGAAAGAUGAGUGGUGCAGCACUUGACUCUUACUAACAUCAUGCAACAUUCAUAUUGUGGAUUAAAAUGGAUGUGGAGUGUGUCACACAGUCCAAUAAUUACUGGACCAUUAAAAACGUAGGUUAAGUGUUGCGCUGGCAGUAAAGCUACGUUUCAAAUCAAUGGCUCUAACAAAAAGUGGUAUUUAAACGGAUGUUAAACCCAAGCCGUGGACACAAAGUGGUCUUUAUAGUAAAACAAAACAUUGGAAAAUAUGGAUUUAUAUUAAAACUGUAACUGACCAGCUGUUUUAUGCCCAAAGAGAUGGAAAAUGUGCAUAAAUAAAGAGUAUGUCAACGGGUACGUGAAUUGAACCACCUUUAAUGUUUACAUAACUCUUACAUUAUCUGAAUCAAUGGUGAUCAGUAGAAUAAUGAAAACAUCCAAAGGGGGACAUUUUCAAACACUUUACGCAUGUGAAGGUUUUUGGGGAAAAAAAAGGAGCGAGUUUAGUUAAACAUCCUCCAUCGUAAGUGUGAAGUUAUAACAUUCAGAACAUCAAAGUCCAUCCAUAGCUGCUGGGAUUAGAUGUGUCCACUAGGCAGCUACUACGACGUCUCCAUCUUGGAACCAUGUUUCUCCAGCUCCGCUCUACGGAGAGAGAGAGAGAACAAAAAGGACCAGUCAAUUGAGAUGAUUACAAAUAGUUAGUUCCAACUGACACCUUUUUCCUUAUCUAGUGCACUACUUUUUACCAGAGCCCUAUGGGAAGAGUGGGUGCUGUGGUCUUAAGUUGUGCACUAUAUAGGGAAUAGUGUGCCAUUUGAGACACAUCCAAGCAGUCCAAUGGUUAAAGCACAAGUGUCCUUCUAUGUUGAUUGAGAGAAGCAUUAUGAAAUCCAACUGAAGAAAUAUCAUGCAGACAGCUACAGAUUUAUAAGGAAGUAGAUCUACUUGUACAAGGCUAAACGCUUAAAACAUAAAUCAUGUCAUCAACCAUGUCUUCUAUAAAUGUCUUAAUAGCAGCCAUCAAAGGUUUGAAUGCCCUAUUGUCUGAAGGAUACUAAAAAAAAUUGUACAGACUGGCCACUUCAAGUCAAUACACUAGUUGAUUAUUCAACAAGCGUAGCCUACGCAUGCAAAUGCAUAGAAUAUAUAUAUUACUGACAAUAAAGCACACAUUGUAGACUGUCCGUAUCAUUCAAAGCCUGCAUAAUCAUUACAAAUGACAUGCAAUAAUGCUGACUAAUGUCUCCCUAUGUAAGAAAAGAGACAACCAAGAUGAACGGCUGAAAGCAGCGGGUGAAAACAGUACCCAGACAACAGAAAGCCCCACUCACAAGAAAAGACUUCCAGGAUUGUGGUGCAUUCGGAUGCGUCUCGGGAUCUCCUAGCUCUCAGUUGGUGAACUCGGAAAGACGUCUGACAACUGUUCAACCAACUAGCUUGAAUUUAGCUAGACAAUAAAGCUAGCAAACAUUGCUAAUAGCCUAAUCGUUCAGUUGGCUUGCUUACUUUGCACAAUAAGUCAAACAAAAUAUUGUAUGUAAACUAACAGGGCUACAUUAUGAAGAUUGUAAAUUGCUUUGUUUUAUCAUCUUUUGGUUGGAAAGGUGAAAGGUCAGUUGAUGAAAUGCCAGAACUCGUAAACUCAGGUAGCCCACUUGGAACACAGACUUAGGAGGGUAAUUCUAGUGGUCAUUUCUGACUUUGAAACUCGGGUCUACGAUAGCAUUCGAAUGAACCACUAUUCCAAGAAGAUUCCAUCAACUCAAGGGUCAAUGCUUUAUAGAUGGCCGCACUAAACCAUAUGAUCACCACUGUGGGACAAAUGAAAAGCAUUUAUUGAGCAUAAAAAAACUAGGCCAAUAUGUGUAGCUAUAAGACCAUUUUUAAGAAAGCUGCAUAGUGCCUAUUGCUUGAAUCUCCUAAUAACUGACACGUUAUCUGUGUUUGUUAUUAUUACCAACUAGUACACUCAAGGGGAGUCUAAAGCCUGACUAAAUUUGCUGUGCCUAAACGAUCAGCAUGAUUAGUUAGAGGUCGACCGAUUAAUAGGAAUGGCCGAUUAAUUAGGGCCGAUUUCAAGUUUUCAUAACAAUCGGUAAUCGGUAUUUUUGGCCACCGAUUUGCCGAUUUAAAAAAAA
rnacentral:lncRNA from 1 species